UCGUUGGCUAUCGUCGUUUUUGCAUCUUCCUCGAGACGAACGCUCGGUCAGUUCGUCGUCGGUGCUCCGCAAGGAAGGUGCCUCUCGUUACAGACACACGUCUUCUCCGCGUAUUUCUCCAUCGUGUUCGUUUUUCUUUAUUCUCCUUUAUACGCUUAAGAGAAGAAAUAGAAGAUCGUUUUUCGUGAUUCCAUCAUUUCUUUUUUCUUAUUCUCUCUAUCUAUCUAUCUCUUUUUGAGAUUCCAUUGUUCUCUCUUUCUCUCUCUCUCUCUCUCUCUCUCUAUCUAUCUAUCUAUCUAUCUAUCUAUUUUUCUGUCUCUCUGACUCUCUCUCUCUCUCUCUCUCUCUCAAUCUUAAUCUUACUCGCACAUCUUUAAAAUUUCAUGAUCGUCAUUACUCCGCCGUUUCUCCCGGGGUGCACGAAAUCGGAAUCGUGUCAUAGUUACUCGAAUCGGAUUCUCGUUAACUUAGCAUCUACGUAUCGGAUUUGCGAAACGUGCUCUACAAAGUUGUAUAUCUACAUGCCACGUUACCGUCGGGGCCGGCCACAGAGACACGAGAAUUGCGAGUGUUGGUGACGUGUUAAUUUGCUACCGCUUCGAUUGGUUGCGGAAGGAAGAGAGAGAGAGAGAGAGAGAGAGAGAGAGAGAGAGAGAGAGAGAGAGAGAGAGAGAGAGAAAAAAAGAAAAAGAAAGAGGGGGAAAGUACAGAAAAAAAAAUUCGACCAUUUCUCUUUUUCUCUCUUUUUCUCUUUGUUAAUGUUCAAAAUUCGUCCCUUAUUAUUUAUUAUUUUAUUCAUCUUCUUCUUCGUUAAAAACGACAUUUUCCUUCGUACAAGUUGACAAUUAUAAAUUUUCGAACUUUAAUUUCUUUGAAAUUCGCCGGCGCGGUAAAUCCAUUGGAACGCGAGAAAAGUAGGGGAAGGAAGAAGCCGGUCACAGGCGCCGCGAGAAGGAACGAAUUCAUUCCGGGAUAUAUCGUUUCCAAUCGACGAUCACGAGCACACGACCACACGACCACGACCAUAACCACGACCACAACCACAACGCAGCUAUGGAUCGUCCUCGAGAAGUCCGACGAACUCUCUUUCUCUCUUCCUCUCUCUCUCUCUCUCUCUCCUUUUUUUUUCUUUUUUUUUUUUUACCCUUUUCCCCUUUUUUUCGGGGAAAAGACCGUGCGAGAGUUCGUUUGCCUAAGAAAACUCUCUUCGAGAGUACAUCAAGAUGGAUCAUCGUCUGCUAGAAAAGUUAAGAAGACUAGAGAGAGAGAGAGAUAGAGAUAGAGAGGGAGAGAGAGAGAGAAAAAGAAGAGGAGAGAGAAAAGGACAUUCGUAAUUCGAACGUGGCGCUUCGAUUGAGAACAAGGCCCAGUGAUUUUCUAUCUUUAUCUCGCUUUCAUCCUACUCCAACACCACAUCCCCCUACACACACCCCUCUCUCUCUCUCUCUCUCUCUCUCUCUCUCUCUCUCUCUCUCUCUCUCUCGGUCGCUCGCUCUUUUCUUUUUUAAUCUAUUUUUACGAUUGUCCUAACAGCUUCUUGAUGGAAACCAUUGCCAAUCGUAACCGAAUCUAUAUGACUGUUUUUUUACUUCUUUUCUUUUAUAUUAGAAAUUUUUAUGUCUCUCUCUCUUUCUUUUUCUUUGUCUCUCUCUCUCUCUCUCUCUCUCUCUCUCUCUCUCUCUCUCUCUCUCUCUCUCUUCAACCUCAACUACGUUCAGGAUCAUCGGAGCACGUAGUGGUUCUCAUUGGCCAGGAAUUUAUGCAGUCUUCCAAGAAGACGCGCGGUAUGUGAAGAUUUGGACUAAGCGAAUGAGAAAUAAAUGGUGAUAUAUAUCUCUUUCUCUCUUUCUCAGUAUAUUCGAAGGUGGAAGGAAAAAGAAAAGGAAAGAAAAAGAGAGAAAGAAAAAAAAGGGAAGAAGACGAAUAAAAAGAAGAAAGAUAGAAAAAGAGACAGAGAAAGGGAAUUCGUAGCUCUCCUUUCCUCGAAAGCUAGUUUGGCGCAGACGUCCUUGAAAUUCGUGAGAUCGGAGAACAAUCGUCCAUGGGUACCCGUCCUUGGUUCAGUGGCGCCGGCUGGUCCCCACUAUCCCUCCCUUCUUCGCUAUCACUACCACUUCCACCACCACCAUCACCACCAUUACUACCACCACCACCACCAUCGCCAUCACCAUUGCCACCACCAUCACCACCAUCACCACCACCACCACCACCACCACCACCACCACUACACCACCACUACUACUACCACCAUCACCAUCAGCAUCAGCUUCGACGGCCCACACAAGCAAACGUUCCUUCGCUCCGAGAAGACUCCAGCGUCUAUCCUCGAGUUUCAUUUCGUUUACGACUUUCCGUGUUGCUGUUGCAAAGCUACUACUACUAUUGCUACUACUGCUACCACUACCAUUACUACCACACUACCGUUGAACCUUCUCGAGGAUCGUUCAAGGACGAUUCUGUUCGACUCACCCGCGUCGUUGCUGGGUUAACACGCGAAAGAGAGAGAGAGAAAGAGGGAGAGAGGGAGGGAGGAACAAGAUAAAAAUAUAAAAUUAAAAAGGAGGAUCAGCAACGCGUUAACGAAAAAAAAGUUUCAAGAUCGGAUUCAACGUUCGAAUUCAUGUCGCGAGUCCAUAUUUCUUUAUGGUGAAUCAUCGAUUGGUUUCUUUAGGGUUUUUUUUCUUUUUUUCUUUUUUUUUUUUUUUUUGAAAUGAAGUUAGAGAAUAGAAAAGAGCUCGUGACUGUGGUGAAUUUUUAUUGUUGUUUUCUUCCUUUUCUAUUACUGGCUAUUAUCAGAUAUUUUUUAUUCUCAGUAGUCAGUAUGAAACAUUUUGUACGAAUGUUUUAUUGAAGAAGUGAGAGAAGUGAUACGAGAUCUAACCUAACUUUCUUCAUCGAUGCCACUUGUUUCUUAUUGGACGACUACGAUGACGACAAUGGCGACAAUGAUCCUGAUGAUUAUAAUGAUGAUUAUAAUAAUGAUGAUGAUGAUGAUAAUGAUGAUGAUGAUGAUGAUGAUGAUGAUGAUGAUGGUGAUGAUGAUGUUAUGUGGCUGCUGGUGUUCUUCGAUUAUGUUUGGAAAUGACAUUUUGAAACGUCAGCUAACAUCCUGCCGAAUCCGCACUGCGACGACCUAAAAAUAAGAAAGCCAAGAUACAGAAUUCUAUCCUUAAGUUUUAUUGCACGAGCUAUUUUCAACGACAUGGAAUAUCAGAGUGAAUUUUCGACUACACGGAACAUCAGAGUGAAUUUUCAACGGCAUGAUGUACAUCAUAGCAACCGAAACAAAUGAAGAAUGUUUUCAACUACUUGAAGAUAUGCUACAUGUUCUUCAAUUACCAGUCGAUCAAACUGGAGAGCGAUGUGACCAGGUUGCGCCAGCGUUUCAACUGGAAAAUUAUUUUUGCUUUCGAUAAAGUAAUGUUUAUAGAAAAAACAGAUCGAUCUUUUAAUCGAGAACAUGUUCUUGAUACGAAAAGCGUUUUGUGCAUUUGUUAAGUUCUCUUUGGAUAAUCUGUUCUGUAGAAUAGAGUAGAGAAAUAACAAUUGUAAUUAUACCAAUUCAGAAUAAAUAUUUUUUAUAUAUUAUUAAAUAAGUCUUAUAAAUUAUAGGAUAUUUACUUGUUAUUAUAUACGGUCAUUACAUCCCUUGUGUGGUACCAUAUAUAAUACUAUAUAUAAAUGGAAAAACAUUUAAUAUUUGGUCUUUUAAUUUGAAGUAUCAUUAUUUCAAUUUAAAUAAAUUAGAUAGAAUACGCCCGAUAUUUUUAAUAUAAAAGCUCGUUUAACGGAUAGAUAAUUUAUCGACUGAUAGUAAUGUAUCAAAGCUUAUUAUUUAUAAUCAUGUAUAAUUAUAUAUAAUUACAAUAUAUGUAACAUUACGUAUUAUAUGACGUUGUUAACAUAAUGUAAAUA